UACGUAGGGACCGAGCGUUGUCCGGAAUCAUUGGGCGUAAAGAGCGUGUAGGCGGCCACUUAAGUCCUGCGUGAAAUCCUGCGGCUCAACCGCAGGCGGUCGUGGGAAACUGGGUGGCUAGAGUGCGGGAGAGGAGAGUGGAAUUCCCAGUGUAGAGGUGAAAUUCGUAGAUAUUGGGAAGAACACCGGUGGCGAAGGCGGCGACCUGGUCCGAUACUGACGCUGAGGCGCGAAAGCGUGGGGAGCAAACAGG
rnacentral:rRNA from 1 species